rnacentral:rRNA from 1 species
AGUGAACGCUGGCGGUAGGCCUAACACAUGCCAGUCGAACGGCAGCACAGUAAGAGCUUGCUCUUACGGGUGGCGAGUGGCGGACGGGUGAGGAAUACAUCGGAAUCUACUUUUUCGUGGGGGAUAACGUAGGGAAACUUACGCUAAUACCGCAUACGACCUACGGGUGAAAGCAGGGGAUCUUCGGACCUUGCGCGAUUGAAUGAGCCGAUGUCGGAUUAGCUAGUUGGCGGGGUAAAGGCCCACCAAGGCGACGAUCCGUAGCUGGUCUGAGAGGAUGAUCAGCAACACUGGAACUGAGACACGGUCCAGACUCCUACGGGAGGCAGCAGUGGGGAAUAUUGGACAAUGGGCGCAAGCCUGAUCCAGCCAUACCGCGUGGGUGAAGAAGGCCUUCGGGCUGUAAAGCCCUUUUGUUGGGAAAGAAAAGCAGCAGGUUAAUACCCCGCUGUUCUGACGGUACCCAAAGAAUAAGCACCGGCUAACUUCGUG